AUGAACGCUGGCGGCGUGCCUAAUACAUGCAAGUCGAGCGAACGGACGAGAAGCUUGCUUUUCUGAUGUUAGCGGCGGACGGGUGAGUAACACGUGGAUAACCUACCUAUAAGACUGGGAUAACUUCGGGAAACCGGAGCUAAUACCGGAUAAUAUUUUGAACCGCAUGGUUCAAAAGUGAAAGACGGUCUUGCUGUCACUUAUAGAUGGAUCCGCGCUGCAUUAGCUAGUUGGUAAGGUAACGGCUUACCAAGGCAACGAUGCAUAGCCGACCAGAGAGGGUGAUCGGCCACACUGGAACUGAGACACGGUCCAGACUCCUACGGGAGGCAGCAGUAGGGAAUCUUCCGCAAUGGGCGAAAGCCUGACGGAGCAACGCCGCGUGAGUGAUGAAGGUCUUCGGAUCGUAAAACUCUGUUAUUAGGGAAGAACAUAUGUGUAAGUAACUGUGCACAUCUUGACGGUACCUAAUCAGAAAGCCACGGCUAACUACGUG
rnacentral:rRNA from 1 species